rnacentral:rRNA from 1 species
UACGUAGGCAGCAAGCGUUGUUCGGAGUUACUGGGCGUAAAGGGUGUGUAGGCGGCUGGAUAAGACAGGUGUGAAAGCCCCGGGCUCAACCUGGGAACCGCGCUUGAGACUGGAGAACUAGAGUUCGGGAGAGGAUGGUGGAAUUCCCAGUGUAGAGGUGAAAUUCGUAGAUAUUGGGAAGAACACCGAUGGCGAAGGCAGCCAUCUGGACCGACACUGACGCUGAGGCGCGAAAGCGUGGGGAGCAAACAGG